rnacentral:rRNA from 1 species
UUUCGAAUCAUUCACAAUGGGGGAAACCCUGAUGGUGCAACGCCGCGUGGAGGAUGAAGGCCCUAGGGUCGUAAACUCCUGUCAUCAGAGAGUAAGCCUUGGUCGUUAAUAGCUUCCAAGGUUGAUAGUAUCUGAAGAGGAAGGGACGGCUAACUUCGUGCCAGCAGCCGCGGUAAUACGAAGGUCCCAAGCGUUGUUCGGAAUCACUGGGCGUAAAGAGUUCGUAGGCGGCGUGGAAAGUCAGAUGUGAAAGCCCAAGGCUCAACCUUGGAACUGCAUCCGAUACUCCCACGCUAGAGUAAUGGAGGGGUAACUGGAAUUCUCGGUGUAGCAGUGAAAUGCGUGGAUAUCGAGAGGAACACUUGUGGCGAAAGCGAGUUACUGGACAUUUACUGACGCUGAGGAACGAAGGCUAGGGGAGCGAAAGGGAUUAGAUACCCCCGUAGUCC